GGACGUGACGGUGAUCUGACUGUGAUAUCUGUCACUUCAUUGAUCACCGGUGUUGAUUUGUUUGGUCUGGCUGGUGAGGUGGGUAUCCCCUUCCUCCCUCACAGGUCUUCCUGAAGUUGAGUGCCCAAGAGAACAACCUUCCCCCAUACAGGAGGACCAUUUUCCUCAGUCAAGGUAUAGGAGGAACUGUGCUCCCCUGCUAGAACCUCCAGACAAGCUCUCAAGGUCCAUUUGUAGAACAGUAGAGUAGUCAAGCUUCCAAGAUUCCAGACACAUCCAAAUGAGGCAUUGCAUGUGGCAGUCUGCCUUUCAAA
rfam:Ailuropoda melanoleuca scaffold2254_31, whole genome shotgun sequence.